UAUAAUAACUAUGAUGUUUAUAAAUUGUUUGGCAAUGUUUUUUUUUAUUUUAUUUUUUUUUUUUUUCUUCAAAUUUUUUAAGUUUAUUUUGCUUUUCUAAUCCCUUUAUUGUAAUACUACUAUAUCAUAUGUUUCAAUAUUAUUUAUAAAUUAUACUCUUUUUUCUUUAGUGUUUUUGUUUAGUGUUUUUUUUUGGCGUUUUUUUUUUUGGUGUUUUUUUUUGGCGUUUUUUUUUUUUGGUGUUUUUUUUUUAAUGUUUUUUUGUAGUGUUUUUUUGUAGUGUUUUUUUGUAGUGUUUUUUUUUUUUAGGGAUUUUUGUAAUACACUAUAAGCGGUAAUAUACUCGCAUUUUUAUUUUUUUUUUUUUUUUCUUUUGUAAGUAGUAAUUUUUUUUUUGAGUGCUUUAUUAUAAAAAAUAUUAACACAAAAAGGAAAUAAAAUUAUAAAUAACUAAAAACGAUGGACGAAAUGAAUGAUCCGCAAUAUGCGUUAAAUAUAAGCACAACAUUGAAUAAUAAUAAUAAUCAAAACAAAAAUUCGAAUAAAAACAAUAAUUAUAUUAUGGAUACAACGACAGAAAAAGAGAUGACAAUUUUAAAUAAUUCUAAUAGUAUAUUAAAUAUGGGAAUGAACAACAAUCAUAAUGAAUCAAGUUAUAAUAAUAACAAUUUAGAAGACAUUGAUAUAUUAUGUAAAUAUAAAAACGACAUAAAAAAUGAUGAUAAAAAAGAAUCGACUUUUAUAAACAUACCAAAUGCAACCCAUUUAAACAAAAUUGAAACUUGUUUAGAAUUGAACGAUGUUGAAAUCGAUAAUAUUGAAGUGAAAUAUGCUUCAAUUAAAAACAAAUUAUACAAAGCAUUAUUUGUUCGGAUAAUAUACGUUUUAAUAUAUGGUAUAUUUUGUGUAACAUUGCAAUGUUAUUUUAUAAUAUUAAGUGAUACUUAUUAUAAAACUGGGGAAACUCCAUUAAAAGAUAGGGUUCAUGAAAUAUUUUCUGAAAAACCUUCUUUUAUGACUACACCAUUCGUUAAUAAUCAGAUAAUUUUUUUUUUAAUUAUCACCUUGUUAAGGUUUGGUUUAUUUGUCCCAUUUUCACUGGGAAUAACUAUAUAUAUAAGAAUUAUAGUUAUGUUUUCAACAACCUAUUUACUAAGAACAAUAUUUAUUUACUCAACUACAAUUCCGUGUCCCGUUCCUACGUGUGUACCUUUAGAAAAUAAAUGUAUAUUACAUAACCUUUACUCGAUAUAUCUUAUAAUUACAGCAAAAGUAUAUGAAUGUACAGAUUUAAUUAUAUCAGGACAUACUGCUUUUACAACUAUAUUACAACUUAUGUGGUUUUUUUAUGAAAAACGGAUUUACUUAAAAGUAAUCGUAUUUAUUUUUAGUUUUUAUAUAUAUGCAAUAAUAAUCAUUUCAAGAUUUCAUUAUACAGUUGAUGUUUUAAUGGGAUAUAUGUUUGGAACAUUUAUCUUUUUAACAUACCACCUCACUUUAGAUACGGCCGUUAAGCGAUACGCAUUGAAUAAAACAUUUAAAAUUAUUAAAACUGGAUACCCUUUAUCAUUUUUUGAUAGAAGUGGAAUUUUUAAUUUCUUCGUACGAAUGAUAGCAUAUGUAGAAGCCUUAGAAUGUAGAAUGAAUAUAUCUGUUUCGUAUAAUAAGGAAUGGAGAUCAUUUUGCUCUUGCAAUCCAGUAAACUCAGAGAGUCUUGUAAUUUAUAAAAAGAACGAGAACAAUGAGCAGCUACACUAUUUUAGUAGCCACUUCUAUCACUCAUAUGCAGGGGAUGGUUCCUUUGAUUUAACAACAAUACGUUAUAUAAAAAAUAAAUUUCUUCUUUUGUUUGGUAUAAGGAAAAAUAUUUAAUUUCUAACGGAAAAAAUGUAUUAAUAUGUGUUAAUAGGUAACACUUAUCUUUUCUUCUAUUUUUCUAUUUAUCUGUUAAUCUACUAUUUAUAUCAUUGUAUAAGUACUUUUAUCUAUUUAUCUUUUUACAUAUUACUUUUUACAUAUAUGUGCCCAUUUAAUUUUGAGUUGUCAAUUAAAAAAAAAGCAUCCUUAAGUUUUUUUUUUUUAUGAUCAUAUGAUAAAAAAAAAAAAAAAAAAAAAAAAAAAUUUUAAUUUUAUAAAAAUAAUUAUGUUUACUGUUAUUUACACAUAUGUAGUGCUAUUAAAAAAACCUGUUUGUGAUAUAUUUAUGUUUCAUAUAAUAUUUAUGCAUUUUGUUUAACCGUUGUUUUUUUACAUAUUUAAUGCCGUUUACAACUAUAUAUAUAUAUAUAUAUAUAUAUAUAUAUAUAUAUAUAUACAUAUCGCCAAAGACAACAUCCUAGGUGUACAUGUAUAUAUACAUUCCGAUUUUGUGAAUAUACACGAACCUGCCUUUCUCAUUCUCUCACUCUCUAUAUAUAUAUAUAUAUAUAUAUAUAUUUCGUUCUUUUUUGCUAUUUUUAUAACCUUAAUUUUAUCUUUAUUUAAUUUAUAUUUUAAAUGUUUUUAAAGUAGAAUAUUAUUUGAUACAAAAAUUAAAGGAGUUUUUUUCCUUUUUUUUUUUUUGGUUUUUAGACAAUAUUUUUUUUUAUACUUUAUUUACUUUUUUUUUUUUUUUAUGUAAUUAAAAUUUUUUAGUAUUAUUGCAAGUGAAUUAUAAAUUCUCACUAUACAUUUAUAUUUAUAUAUAUAUAUUUUUUUUUUUUUUUUUACUUAAAUUUUUUUUUAUUUUGUACUUAAUUUACUUUUUUUUUUUUUUUGUUAUGUAAUUAAAAUUUUGUAAUAUUGUAAGAAAGUUAUAAGCUCUAAUUGAAUAUUUAUAAUUUUUUUUUUUUUGUAGAAAAAGGUUUUUUUUUAUAUUUUAUUUAUUUAUUUAUUUAUUUAUUUAUUUAUUUAUUUAUUUAUUUAUUUAUUUAUUUAUUUAUUUAUUUAUUUAUUUACUUUUUUUUUUUUUUUUUUCUUAUGUAAUUAAAAUUUUGUUACAUCACUAUAAAUGAAUUAUAAGUUCUUAUUGAACAUUUAUAGUUUUUUUUUUUUUUCUUUUGAACUAUAAAAAACAUAUUUAAAGGCUACAUAGUGAGGCAUAUUUUUAUAAUAAUAAAUAAAAUGCGAUAGGAGGUUAAAAACA
rnacentral:lncRNA from 1 species